GUAGCGAAAGUUGCGCUAAUACCGCAUAUUCUGUGAGCAGGAAAGCAGGGGACCGCAAGGCCUUGCGCUCUUUGAGCGGCCGAUGUCAGAUUAGCUAGUUGGUGAGGUAAAGGCUUACCAAGGCGACGAUCUGUAGCGGGUCUGAGAGGAUGAUCCGCCGCACUGGAACUGAGACACGGUCCAGACUCCUACGGGAGGCAGCAGUGGGGAAUUUUGGACAAUGGGGGCAACCCUGAUCCAGCCAUGCCGCGUGAGUGAAGAAGGCCUUCGGGUUGUAAAGCUCUUUCGGCCGGGAAGAAAUCGCAUGGGCCAAUACCCUGUGUGGAUGACGGUACCGGAAUAAGAAGCACCGGCUAACUACGUGCCAGCAGCCGCGGUAAUACGUAGGGUGCGAGCGUUAAUCGGAAUUACUGGGCGUAAAGCGUGCGCUGGCGGUUUUAUAAGACAGGCGUGAAAUCCCCGGGCUUAACCUGGGAACUGCGUUUGUGACUGCAAGGCUAGAGUACGGCAGAGGGGGGUGGAAUUCCACGUGUAGCAGUGAAAUGCGUAGAGAUGUGGAGGAACACCAAUGGCGAAGGCAGCCCCCUGGGUCGAUACUGACGCUCAUGCACGAAAGCGUGGGUAGCAAACAGGAUUAGAUACCCUGGUAGUCCACGCCCUAAACUAUGUCAACUAGGUGUUGGGUGGGUAAAACCAUUUAGUACCGUAGCUAACGCGUGAAGUUGACCGCCUGGGGAGUACGGCCGCAAGGUUAAAACUCUAAGGAAUUGACGGGGACCCGCACAAGCGGUGGAUGAUGUGGAUUAAUUCGAUGCAACGCGAAAAACCUUACCUACCCUUGACAUGCCAGGAACUUGCCAGAGAUGGCUUGGUGCCCGAAAGGGAGCCUGGACACAGGUGCUGCAUGGCUGUCGUCAGCUCGUGUCGUGAGAUGUUGGGUUAAGUCCCGCAACGAGCGCAACCCUUGUCGUUAAUUGCCAUCAUUUAGUUGGGCACUUUAACGAGACUGCCGGUGACAAACCGGAGGAAGGUGGGGAUGACGUCAAGUCCUCAUGGCCCUAUGGGUAGGGUUUCACACGUCAUACAAUGGUCGGUACAAAGGGUUGCCAAGCCGCGAGGCGGAGCCAAUCCCAGAAAGCCGAUCGUAGUCCGGAUUGCAGGCUGCAACUCGCCUGCAUGAAGUCGGAAUCGCUAGUAAUCGUGGAUCAGCAUGUCACGGUGAAUACGUUCCCGGGUCUUGUACACACCGCCCGUCACACCAUGGGAGCGGGUUCCGCCAGAAGUAGGUAGCCUAACCGCAAGGGGGGCGCUUACCACGGCGGGGUUCGUGACUGGGGUGAAGUCGUAACAAGGUA
rnacentral:rRNA from 1 species